rnacentral:rRNA from 1 species
UACGGAGGGAGCUAGCGUUGUUCGGAAUUACUGGGCGUAAAGCGCACGUAGGCGGCUUUGUAAGUUAGAGGUGAAAGCCCGGGGCUCAACCCCGGAAUUGCCUUUAAGACUGCAUCGCUUGAAUCCGGGAGAGGUGAGUGGAAUUCCGAGUGUAGAGGUGAAAUUCGUAGAUAUUCGGAAGAACACCAGUGGCGAAGGCGGCUCACUGGACCGGUAUUGACGCUGAGGUGACGAAAGCGUGGGGAGCAAACAGG